UAAACUUAUUAAAAAAAAAAUUCAAGAUUGCAUACUUUUAUCAAUCAAAGGUUAAGAUUUUCCUCAGCAUCCGGGGUGACUUAUGUUGUUCGGUUGGUAUUGAAGUCUGUAAAUUUGUAUUCAGUUGCUUUAGCAUAAUGCUGCUAAAAUAGCAGCGCUUUAUGAGCUAUUUAAGAAGAUUAGUAGUACAGUCCAUGAUGACCAGUUAAUCAAUAAGGUUUCAUCUGAUUACAAUUCCUUACAAGCUUGGAGGGAAAACCUGCCCAGAAAAACAUAGGAGAUGAGCAACUCAAAAAAUUCUUUUUGGUCUUCUUCCUCAUCUUGCUUACUACAACAUACAAUCGCUCAAAACUGGUGCCAUGAAAGACUCUGAGCUGCUCGACUCGGUAUUUCUGCACAUCAGAUUGAUCGCAUGCCAGAAUCAAGAAAGUCAACUCAUGAUCGGAAGAGUCAAGGUCAAGCAGUGAGUGGACAUGCACGGCAUGUGAGGCUUCCUCCAAGUGGGGUUAAGGAUAUGGGUGAUAGGCAUCAGUUUCAUUUCCUGAUAUAAGCAGCAAACUUGUAAGCUUCGGGCCUGAUCUUGUGAUGCGAAGAUUUCACAGUGAAGGAUUGCUGUGAGCUGUUUGCGAUGGAAGAAUAACGAAAACUAUGAUCAUGGGUGUUUUUUUCUUUAAUGGAUUUGGGACUUGCCUUGUUUGCUGUGACAUUAUAAUUUCAUUGUUGUUAGAAUUACAAAUUUUGGUUAUGUAAAGCAUUAAAACAUUCAUUUUGUGUACCUGAUUUCUUUUGCCUUC